GUUUUCUCGGUCUUUUCAGCGACUCACUCACCAGGAGAGCAGAGCGAAAGACGUCCUCUCCAAUAUAUAUAUAAUGCAAAACAACGCAAGCGAUUCGAUCAUCUGUACCAACAUGGUCUGCUAUCAUUUGUCUCUUGGUGAAUCCCUGUGUGAGCCGGAUGCAGGGUGAUGGCUGUGUUGGCUGCUGCAGAAUUUCCAGAGAUGACUGGUGCUGAAACGCCACGUGCUGCGAGGCAGUGUAACCACAGGAGAUAAUGCAUCCUGACAAAGGAGCUCCAACAAUAGGACAGCUACCAUCUGAAUAACAUUCUCCUGGUUUAAGCGUUGGGAUAUGAAACCUGAGAGAAGAUGUCACAGCUGUGAUGUACACUGCAGUCUUUGGAGGUAAUAAGCGACACUGCGAGGGAGCUGGCUCAUCGUCCUGACGCAAAACAAAUGUGCUUUUGUCAUGUUUAGUUUGCUGUCUCUGAUCACUGGCAACAUUUGACAUGCACAUGGUUUAUACAGGCAGUAUGCAUCAGCUGUACAGGGAAUCCUGAAAAUAAAACUCUUUGACUAAA